rnacentral:lncRNA from 1 species
GGAAUGGUGGUUGUGGAUGAGCUGCACAUGCUGGGAGACUCUCACCGAGGGUAUCUGCUGGAACUUUUGCUCACUAAGAUUUGUUUUCUUACUCAGAAAUCAGCAUCUCGCCAGGCAGAUUUAGCCAGUCCCCUGUCUAAUGCUGUGCAGGUUGUUGGCAUGAGUGCCACUCUCCCUAAUUUGGAACUUAUAGCUUCCUGGUUGAAUGCUGAACUCUACCAUACUGACUUUCGUCCUGUACCACUUUUGGAGUUAGUAAAAAUUGGAAAUUCCAUUUAUGACUCUUCAAUGAAACUUAUAAGGGAAUUUCAACCCAUGCUGCAAGUGAAGGGAGAUGACGAUCAUGUUGUUAGUUUAUGCUAUGAGACUGUUCGUGAUAACCAUUCAGUAUUACUUUUUUGUCCAUCAAAAAAAUGGUGUGAGAAGCUGGCGGAUAUAAUUGCUCGAGAGUUUUAUAAUCUACACCAUCAAGCUGAGGGUGAGUUACAGAUGAAAAUAAAGGUCUCCAUUAUUAGUAUGUUUGCAAGAGAUAGAUGGAGGGGGGAGAGAAGGGAAAGGGAUGCAAAAAGAAUUAAGAUGUGUUAUGUACAUGUACCAAUUCCCCACAGGAAUGGAAACAUCAUGUACUGCUAACAUGUACUACUACUAAUAAA